rnacentral:rRNA from 1 species
CGCACGGGUGAGUAACACGUGAGUGACCUGCCUUUUAGACUGGAACAACUUACCGAAAGGUGGGCUAAUGCCGGAUGAGUUAUAUAAGUGCAUGUUUAUAUAGGAAAAGUUGGGGAGACCUGACGCUGAAAGAUGGACUCGCGUCCCAUUAGCUAGUUGGUAGGGUAAUGGCCUACCAAGGCGACGAUGGGUAGCCGGCCUGAGAGGGUGGCCGGCCACACUGGGACUGAGACACGGCCCAGACUCCUACGGAAGGCAGCAG